rnacentral:rRNA from 1 species
UGAGGAAUAUUGGUCAAUGGGCGAGAGCCUGAACCAGCCAAGUCGCGUGAAGGAAGACAGUCCUAAGGAUUGUAAACUUCUUUUAUACGGGAAUAACGGGCGAUACGAGUAUUGCAUUGAAUGUACCGUAAGAAUAAGCAUCGGCUAACUCCGUGCCAGCAGCCGCGGUAAUACGGAGGAUGCGAGCGUUAUCCGGAUUUAUUGGGUGUAAAGGGUGCGUAGGUUGUUCGGUAAGUCAGCAGUGAAACCUGGGCGCUUAACGUUCAGCCGGCCGUUGAAACUGCCGGGCUUGAGUUCAGUAGCGGCAGGAGGAAUUCGUGGUGGAGCGGUGAAAUGCCUAGAGAUCACGAAGAACUUCGAUUGCGAAGGCAGCUUGCCAUACUGCGACUGACACUGAAGCACGAAGGCGUGGGUAUCAAACAGG